rnacentral:rRNA from 1 species
GGGUUGUGAGGUUAAGCGACUAAGCGUACACGGUGGAUGCCCUGGCAGUCAGAGGCGAUGAAGGACGUGCUAAUCUGCGAUAAGCGUCGGUAAGGUGAUAUGAACCGUUAUAACCGGCGAUUUCCGAAUGGGGAAACCCAGUGUGAUUCGUCACACUAUCAUUAACUGAAUCCAUAGGUUAAUGAGGCGAACCGGGGGAACUGAAACAUCUAAGUACCCCGAGGAAAAGAAAUCAACCGAGAUUCCCCCAGUAGCGGCGAGCGAACGGGGAGCAGCCCAGAGCCUGAAUCAGUGUGUGUGUUAGUGGAAGCGUCUGGAAAGGCGCGCGAUACAGGGUGACAGCCCCGUACACAAAAAUGCACAUGCUGUGAGCUCGAUGAGUAGGGCGGGACACGUGGUAUCCUGUCUGAAUAUGGGGGGACCAUCCUCCAAGGCUAAAUACUCCUGACUGACGAUAGUGAACCAGUACCGUGAGGGAAAGGCGAAAAGAACCCCGGCGAGGGGAGUGAAAAAGAACCUGAAACCGUGUACGUACAAGCAGUGGGAGCCUCUUAAUGGGUGACUGCGUACCUUUUGUAUAAUGGGUCAGCGACUUAUAUUCUGUAGCAAGGUUAACCGAAUAGGGGAGCCGAAGGGAAACCGAGUCUUAACUGGGCGUUAAGUUGCAGGGUAUAGACCCGAAACCCGGUGAUCUAGCCAUGGGCAGGUUGAAGGUUGGGUAACACUAACUGGAGGACCGAACCGACUAAUGUUGAAAAAUUAGCGGAUGACUUGUGGCUGGGGGUGAAAGGCCAAUCAAACCGGGAGAUAGCUGGUUCUCCCCGAAAGCUAUUUAGGUAGCGCCUCGUGAAUUCAUCUCCGGGGGUAGAGCACUGUUUCGGCAAGGGGGUCAUCCCGACUUACCAACCCGAUGCAAACUGCGAAUACCGGAGAAUGUUAUCACGGGAGACACACGGCGGGUGCUAACGUCCGUCGUGAAGAGGGAAACAACCCAGACCGCCAGCUAAGGUCCCAAAGUCAUGGUUAAGUGGGAAACGAUGUGGGAAGGCCCAGACAGCCAGGAUGUUGGCUUAGAAGCAGCCAUCAUUUAAAGAAAGCGUAAUAGCUCACUGGUCGAGUCGGCCUGCGCGGAAGAUGUAACGGGGCUAAACCAUGCACCGAAGCUGCGGCAGCGACACUAUGUGUUGUUGGGUAGGGGAGCGUUCUGUAAGCCUGCGAAGGUGUACUGUGAGGUAUGCUGGAGGUAUCAGAAGUGCGAAUGCUGACAUAAGUAACGAUAAAGCGGGUGAAAAGCCCGCUCGCCGGAAGACCAAGGGUUCCUGUCCAACGUUAAUCGGGGCAGGGUGAGUCGACCCCUAAGGCGAGGCCGAAAGGCGUAGUCGAUGGGAAACAGGUUAAUAUUCCUGUACUUGGUGUUACUGCGAAGGGGGGACGGAGAAGGCUAUGUUGGCCGGGCGACGGUUGUCCCGGUUUAAGCGUGUAGGCUGGUUUUCCAGGCAAAUCCGGAAAAUCAAGGCUGAGGCGUGAUGACGAGGCACUACGGUGCUGAAGCAACAAAUGCCCUGCUUCCAGGAAAAGCCUCUAAGCAUCAGGUAACAUCAAAUCGUACCCCAAACCGACACAGGUGGUCAGGUAGAGAAUACCAAGGCGCUUGAGAGAACUCGGGUGAAGGAACUAGGCAAAAUGGUGCCGUAACUUCGGGAGAAGGCACGCUGAUAUGUAGGUGAAGUCCCUCGCGGAUGGAGCUGAAAUCAGUCGAAGAUACCAGCUGGCUGCAACUGUUUAUUAAAAACACAGCACUGUGCAAACACGAAAGUGGACGUAUACGGUGUGACGCCUGCCCGGUGCCGGAAGGUUAAUUGAUGGGGUUAGCGCAAGCGAAGCUCUUGAUCGAAGCCCCGGUAAACGGCGGCCGUAACUAUAACGGUCCUAAGGUAGCGAAAUUCCUUGUCGGGUAAGUUCCGACCUGCACGAAUGGCGUAAUGAUGGCCAGGCUGUCUCCACCCGAGACUCAGUGAAAUUGAACUCGCUGUGAAGAUGCAGUGUACCCGCGGCAAGACGGAAAGACCCCGUGAACCUUUACUAUAGCUUGACACUGAACAUUGAGCCUUGAUGUGUAGGAUAGGUGGGAGGCUUUGAAGUGUGGACGCCAGUCUGCAUGGAGCCGACCUUGAAAUACCACCCUUUAAUGUUUGAUGUUCUAACGUUGGCCCCUAAUCGGGGUUGCGGACAGUGUCUGGUGGGUAGUUUGACUGGGGCGGUCUCCUCCUAAAGAGUAACGGAGGAGCACGAAGGUUGGCUAAUCCUGGUCGGACAUCAGGAGGUUAGUGCAAUGGCAUAAGCCAGCUUGACUGCGAGCGUGACGGCGCGAGCAGGUGCGAAAGCAGGUCAUAGUGAUCCGGUGGUUCUGAAUGGAAGGGCCAUCGCUCAACGGAUAAAAGGUACUCCGGGGAUAACAGGCUGAUACCGCCCAAGAGUUCAUAUCGACGGCGGUGUUUGGCACCUCGAUGUCGGCUCAUCACAUCCUGGGGCUGAAGUAGGUCCCAAGGGUAUGGCUGUUCGCCAUUUAAAGUGGUACGCGAGCUGGGUUUAGAACGUCGUGAGACAGUUCGGUCCCUAUCUGCCGUGGGCGCUGGAGAACUGAGGGGGGCUGCUCCUAGUACGAGAGGACCGGAGUGGACGCAUCACUGGUGUUCGGGUUGUCAUGCCAAUGGCACUGCCCGGUAGCUAAAUGCGGAAGAGAUAAGUGCUGAAAGCAUCUAAGCACGAAACUUGCCCCGAGAUGAGUUCUCCCUGACUCCCUGAGAGUCCUGAAGGAACGUUGAAGACGACGACGUUGAUAGGCCGGGUGUGUAAGCGCAGCGAUGCGUUGAGCUAACCGGUACUAAUGAACCGUGAGGCUUAACCUUACAACGCCGAAG